UUCAAUUCUUGUUGACUUAUUUUAACAAGCAUUGCCUUUUCGAAUUUGAAAGUGCAACAAUUUUGGGGUUUUUUCAACUACAAGGGCUGCUUUGUGGGAAAAAAAACCUGAUGCUAGAAG
rnacentral:rRNA from 1 species